rnacentral:misc_RNA from 1 species
CAUGAUUAGAUACUUAGAAGAGCUUGAGGCAAGAGUGGAAGAAUUGGAAUCUUGCAAAAACUUGGUGGAGUAUACAGCAAGACCCAGAAGGAGUGAAUUGGAAAUGGCAGAGAAGACAUCAGAUAACUAUGAAAACAUGAAGUUUGAAAAUGGCAAGAAGGUUUGGAUAAAAAAGAGGAAGGCCAGUUUCAUUUAUGAAACUGAACCAGAGCUUAAUGUAAUGGUAACCGAGGAUGUCUUGCCCACGGAUGUGAAGGUCAGCAUGAGGGAGAAGGAGGUUCUAAUUGAGAUGAAAUGUGCUUACAGGGAAUACAUAUUGCUUGACAUUAUGGAUGAAAUCAACAAUCUUCACUUGGAUGUGCACUCAGUUCAGUCAUCUAGUAUUGAUGGCAUUCUCACAGCGAGCCUAAAGUCUAAGUUUCGAGGGGCAGCAGUUGCAUCUGCAGGGAUGAUCAAACAAGCACUUUGGAAGGUUGGCAGUAAUUAAGAGUUGAAGGGUGUUAUAUUUCAACUUAUCCCUGUUCAUUUGAUAAAUUGGCUUCUAGUUCUAGAUAGUUGUGUAAUUUGUAGCUGUAGCUACUUAAACUUGAAACUGCUUCCUAAAUGCUUUCUUUGUCAAUUGUUUGGAGACAUUGAAAUGAAGUUUAUAAUCUUCAUGGCCCAAACAAUUGACAAAGAAAGCAUUUAGG